rnacentral:rRNA from 1 species
CCUACGGGUGACAGCAGUGGGGAAUAUUGGUCAAUGGGCGCGAGCCUGAACCAGCCAAGUCGCGUGAGGGAUGACGGUCCUACGGAUUGUAAACCUCUUUUGCCGGGGAGCAAGCGUGCGUUCGUGAACGCGCGUCGAGAGUACCCGGAGAAAAAGCAUCGGCUAACUCCGUGCCAGCAGCCGCGGUAAUACGGAGGAUGCGAGCGUUAUCCGGAUUUAUUGGGUUUAAAGGGUGCGUAGGCGGUUUUUUAAGUUAGUGGUUAAACGUCGGGGCUCCACCUUGAUUUGCCAUUAAUACUGUAAGACUCGAGUUCAGACGAGGUAGGCGGAAUAAGUUAAGUAGCGGUGAAAUGCUUAGAUAUAACUUAGAACUCCGAUAGCGAAGGCAGCUUACCAGACUGCGACUGACGCUGAAGCACGAGAGCGUGGGUAGCGAACAGGAUUAGAUACCCCAGUAGUC